UGGGGAAUUUUGGACAAUGGGCGAAAGCCUGAUCCAGCAAUGCCGCGUGUGUGAAGAAGGCCUUCGGGUUGUAAAGCACUUUUGUCCGGAAAGAAAUCCUUGGCUCUAAUACAGUCGGGGGAUGACGGUACCGGAAGAAUAAGCACCGGCUAACUACGUGCCAGCAGCCGCGGUAAUACGUAGGGUGCAAGCGUUAAUCGGAAUUACUGGGCGUAAAGCGUGCGCAGGCGGUUUGCUAAGACCGAUGUGAAAUCCCCGGGCUCAACCUGGGAACUGCAUUGGUGACUGGCAGGCUAGAGUAUGGCAGAGGGGGGUAGAAUUCCACGUGUAGCAGUGAAAUGCGUAGAGAUGUGGAGGAAUACCGAUGGCGAAGGCAGCCCCCUGGGCCAAUACUGACGCUCAUGCACGAAAGCGUGGGGAGCAAACAGGAUUAGAUACCCUGGUAGUCCACGCCCUAAACGAUGUCAACUAGUUGUUGGGGACUUCAUUUUCCUUAGUAACGUAGCUAACGCGUGAAGUUGACCGCCUGGGGAGUACGGUCGCAAGAUUAAAACUCAAAUGAAUUG
rnacentral:rRNA from 1 species